rnacentral:rRNA from 1 species
CCCUUAGAUGUCCGGGGCCGCACGCGCGCUACACUGAAGGAAUCAGCGUGGCUUUCUCCCUGACCCGAAAGGGUUGGGAAACCCGUUGAAUCUCCUUCGUGAUAGGGAUUGGGGCUUGAAAUUGUUCCCCAUGAACGAGGAAUUCCCAGUAAGCGCGAGUCAUAAGCUCGCGUUGAUUACGUCCCUGCCCUUUGUACACACCGCCCGUCGCUACUACCGAUUGAACGGUUUAGUGAGAUCUUCGGAUUGGCGCCACUGCGGCUCAGCAAUGGGCUCGGUGGAUGCCGAAAAGUUUAUCAAACUUGAUCAUUUAGAGGAAGUAAAAGUCGUAACA